GGCCGGUUGGCGAAAUGGUAUCGCUUUGCUUUCCGGUGCUCUCAUCGAGAUUGGCAAGGAUUGCGGGUUCGAGUCCCGUGCUGGUCG